rnacentral:sRNA from 1 species
AAUGCUUGCCUGUAGGAUCUCUCCCAAUCCCCUGGGGAAGAUCGUUGGAGCGGGCACUCAUCCCCAAGUGUCCGCUCUCCGGCCUCGCCGACCUUCCUUGGUCAGCGGGGCCUUUUA